rnacentral:rRNA from 1 species
GAUGAACGCUAGCUACAGGCUUAACACAUGCAAGUCGAGGGGAAACGACAUCGAAAGCUUGCUUUUGAUGGGCGUCGACCGGCGCACGGGUGAGUAACGCGUAUCCAACCUGCCCAUCACUUGGGAAUAACCUUGCGAAAGUAAGACUAAUACCCAAUGAUAUCCAACGAAGGCAUCGGAAUGGGAUUAAAGAUUUAUCGGUGAUGGAUGGGGAUGCGUCUGAUUAGCUUGUUGGCGGGGUAACGGCCCACCAAGGCAACGAUCAGUAGGGGUUCUGAGAGGAAGGUCCCCCACAUUGGAACUGAGACACGGUCCAAACUCCUACGGGAGGCAGCAGUGAGGAAUAUUGGUCAAUGGGCGAGAGCCUGAACCAGCCAAGUAGCGUGCAGGAAGACGGCCCUAUGGGUUGUAAACUGCUUUUAUAAGGGAAUAAAGUGGGUCACGUGUGACUUUUUGCAUGUACCUUAUGAAUAAGGACCGGCUAAUUCCGUG